rnacentral:rRNA from 1 species
GAUGAACGCUGGCGGCGUGCCUAAUACAUGCAAGUCGAGCGAACAGACUAGUAGCUUGCUCCUCUCACGUUUGCGGCGCACGUGUGUGUAACACGUGGAUAACCUCCCUAUAUGCCUGGGAUAACUUCGGAACUCCGGCGCUAAUACCGUAUAAUAUAUUUAUCCGCAUCGUUCAAUAGUGAAAUACGGUUUUGCUAUCACUUCUCGAUCUAUCCGCGCCGCAUUAGCUAGUUGGUCAGGUAACGGCUUACCAAGGCGACGAUGCGUAGACGAACUGAGAGAGUGAUAGGCGACCCUGGAACUGAGACACGGACAAGAGGACUAAGGUAGGCAGCAGUAGGGAAUCGUACGCAAUGGGAGAAAGCCUGACGGAGCGACGGCGCGUGAGUGAUGAAGGCCUUCGGAUCGUAAAAACCGGUUAUGAGGUAAGAACAAAUGUGUAAAGAAAUAUGCACGACGUGACGGUACCUAAUCAGAAAGCCACGGCUAACUACGUG